UACAGAGGGGGCAAGCGUUGUUCGGAAUUACUGGGCGUAAAGGGCGCGUAGGCGGCCUGUUAAGUCGAACGUGAAAUCCCCGGGCUCAACCCGGGAACUGCGUCCGAUACUGGCAGGCUUGAAUCCGGGGAGAGGGAUGCGGAAUUCCAGGUGUAGCGGUGAAAUGCGUAGAUAUCUGGAGGAACACCGGUGGCGAAGGCGGCAUCCUGGUCCGGUACUGACGCUGAGGUGCGAAAGCGUGGGGAGCAAACAGG
rnacentral:rRNA from 1 species